UCAAGGAGCCUGGAUGUACAACCAGAAGGAAAGAACCAUAUAAAGAGAACCAUGGGAAAGAGAGAAGGGUAGACAGAGCACUGGAUGGAGACUCUUCUUCAACUGAGCAUCUGCAGUAACUCAAUGAGGGCUGAUUUUCCAUUUAGGCAAGCCACUCUGGCAGUAGAGUGAGACAUGAAUUGGCAGAGGCUGAACUAAAGGAAAGAGGGGCAAGGCCGGAAUGAAGGUAGGGAUGAAGGAGGAGGAAGAAGGCUUGGAGACUGGCUGGAAGUACAGAGAGCUGAGAGUGAAGGAGGAGUAUAGAAAAGAUCCCUGAUUUCUCAGUGAGGCAACUAGAUGGAGGAAGCAUUUUUGAGGGGCACAGCUGUGACAAAGGUCAGUGAAGAGAGUGGCAUCUGAGGGUUACAGAGACGGCCAAUACUCUCCUGAAUCUUGAGAUUUUGUACCUAGCAAAGUCCUGACUUGUAUGUGUAAUUUAGACAACUAUUGGAAAACUAGCUUUACCCUAUAAUUUUAUUUAUAUGAAGUUAUAUUUCACUAAGUCGGUUAUUAGACAAUA